rnacentral:rRNA from 1 species
CAGGAUUAGAUACCCUGGUAGUCCACGCUGUAAACGAUGUCGAUUUGAAGGUUGUUCCCUUGAGGAGUGGCUUUCGGAGCUAACGCGUUAAAUCGACCGCCUGGGGAGUACGGCCGCAAGGUUAAAACUCAAAUGAAUUGACGGGGGCCCGCACAAGCGGUGGAGCAUGUGGUUUAAUUCGAUGCAACGCGAAGAACCUUACCUACUCUUGACAUCCAGAGAACUUAGCAGAGAUGCUUUGGUGCCUUCGGGAACUCUGAGACAGGUGCUGCAUGGCUGUCGUCAGCUCGUGUUGUGAAAUGUUGGGUUAAGUCCCGCAACGAGCGCAACCCUUAUCCUUUGUUGCCAGCGAUUCGGUCGGGAACUCAAAGGAGACUGCCGGUGAUAAACCGGAGGAAGGUGGGGAUGACGUCAAGUCAUCAUGGCCCUUACGAGUAGGGCUACACACGUGCUACAAUGGCGUAUACGAAGAGAAGCGACCUCGCGAGAGCAAGCGGAACUCAUAAAGUACGUCGUAGUCCGGAUUGGAGUCUGCAACUCGACUCCAUGAAGUCGGAAUCGCUAGUGAUCGUAGAUCAGAAUGCUACGGUGAAUACGUUCCCGGGCCUUGUACACACCGCCCGUCACACCAUGGGAGUGGGUUGCAAAAGAAGUAGGUAGCUUAGCCUUCGGGAGGGCGCUUACCACUUUGUGAUUCAUGACUGGGGUGAAGUCGUA